UAGUGGUUCGAGGAUUACUCUCAGACCCAGCCUAUGAGGAGGCUGCCAAGAACCUCAGCUACCUCAAUGAUUUUUGCUCCUAGCAUCACCACCAUCGGAAGCCAUGGAAUACGAAAAAAGAAAGGACUACGAAAGAAAUGGGCUAAAGUAGAAAACCAAAUAGAAAUAGAGCAAAAAAUAAAAAAUACUGAAAAAAGCA
rnacentral:lncRNA from 1 species